rnacentral:rRNA from 1 species
UACGUAGGGGGCGAGCGUUGUCCGGAUUUAUUGGGCGUAAAGAGCGUGUAGGCGGUUCGGUAAGUCUGUCGUGAAAUCCUGAGGCUCAACCUCGGGCGUGCGAUGGAUACUGCCGGGCUAGAGGAUGGUAGAGGCGAGUGGAAUUCCCGGUGUAGCGGUGAAAUGCGCAGAUAUCAGGAGGAACACCGGUGGCGAAGGCGGGUCCCUGGGCCGAUACUGACGCUGAGGAGCGAAAGCGUGGGGAGCGAACAGG